UCUCUGCAGGGACCUCCAGGACAUCCUGGCUCAUCCCUGAGCUGCUCCUGUGUUUCCAUGGCCCCUGAUGGGACUCAGAGAUGUUUGCUGACCUCCCUUGGAGGUGCCCCCAAAGCCCAGGGAGGGAGGGGGUUGGUGUCUUAAACAACCCUGUACAGAGUGAUGGGGUGGGUCUCAAAAGGUGUUUAAAUGCAAAAUAUAACUAUUUAUCUUCCAGGAAAACCAGGUUUCAAACCCAGGGGAUGUUCUCUGAUUUUUUGGGUAUUAUUUUUGUGCUGGUUUCGGGCAGGUAAAAGGUGACACAACUCAUUUGCAAUUAAAAUGUGAUGAAGUCCAGUUGUUUUUUUUUCCCCCCAUUUCUCCUUCUGUUUAACCUGCAGCUGAUAAAAAUCAGCAAUUUCUAGUUCAUACAGUCAAAUGCUUGGACUGUGAUAUUUGUACAGCACUGUUUUAUUUUCUGACACUGCAGGGACCGAGUUAUUGAAGCAUUUUUAUUGGACUCAGAGAAAAUAUGCUGCUGUUCUACCUGAUUUGAGAAGUUCCUCUUUUCUGUGGUUUUUAUAACCCAUCUCCUGUGGGAAAGGUCCUGGAGCUGGAGUUCCCUGCCAGGUCAGGAAAGGGAAAAAAUGCCUGGAUGAAGUGAACUUUUCAGUCUCCCUGGAACUGAGGUGCUGUCUGUGAAACCACACACCAGGCUCUUCUGGUUGUUGUACAAAGCAGGCAAACGAGGGCUGUCCUGUUCCUCCUCCAGCUGUCGGAGCCACGGCUGGGAAAACAAACUGCUGCUCCCCUUUCAAGUCUCUCCUGACUAGCAUUAAUA